AGUCGAGCGGUAGAGAGAAGCUUGCUUCUCUUGAGAGCGGCGGACGGGUGAGUAAUGCCUAGGAAUCUGCCUGGUAGUGGGGGAUAACGCUCGGAAACGGACGCUAAUACCGCAUACGUCCUACGGGAGAAAGCAGGGGACCUUCGGGCCUUGCGCUAUCAGAUGAGCCUAGGUCGGAUUAGCUAGUUGGUGAGGUAAUGGCUCACCAAGGCGACGAUCCGUAACUGGUCUGAGAGGAUGAUCAGUCACACUGGAACUGAGACACGGUCCAGACUCCUACGGGAGGCAGCAGUGGGGAAUAUUGGACAAUGGGCGAAAGCCUGAUCCAGCCAUGCCGCGUGUGUGAAGAAGGUCUUCGGAUUGUAAAGCACUUUAAGUUGGGAGGAAGGGCAGUUACCUAAUACGUAUCUGUUUUGACGUUACCGACAGAAUAAGCACCGGCUAACUCUGUGCCAGCAGCCGCGGUAAUACAGAGGGUGCAAGCGUUAAUCGGAAUUACUGGGCGUAAAGCGCGCGUAGGUGGUUUGUUAAGUUGGAUGUGAAAUCCCCGGGCUCAACCUGGGAACUGCAUUCAAAACUGACAAGCUAGAGUAUGGUAGAGGGUGGUGGAAUUUCCUGUGUAGCGGUGAAAUGCGUAGAUAUAGGAAGGAACACCAGUGGCGAAGGCGACCACCUGGACUGAUACUGACACUGAGGUGCGAAAGCGUGGGGAGCAAACAGGAUUAGAUACCCUGGUAGUCCACGCCGUAAACGAUGUCAACUAGCCGUUGGGAGCCUUGAGCUCUUAGUGGCGCAGCUAACGCAUUAAGUUGACCGCCUGGGGAGUACGGCCGCAAGGUUAAAACUCAAAUGAAUUGACGGGGGCCCGCACAAGCGGUGGAGCAU
rnacentral:rRNA from 1 species